AUGCUUCCGUAUCUUUAUCAUUGCUUGUUGUCUUCGAUUGCAGCCCCUCUGAUUGAAGAGCCUGAGCUACCGGAAGAGGUGGCCAACAUAGGGAAAGAUGUUGCAGAAGAGGCUGCCAAGAUUGAUGCCGCAAAGGAGCAGGAACAUGCUGCCGGUGGCGUUCAGGAGCUCUGGAAGGAAACAGAGAAAACCCUCGGCAGCACGCCAGGAUCAAGGGUGCUGAUUGAAGAGAAACCCCCCCUCCAAACCAUAAACCACCUUCCCUCUUUUGGCAUCUUGGCGGGGAUCCUGCGGCUAGCUUCGAGCCAACUGGUGUUGGUCCUUGCGCAGCCUGGACUUGGAGCCCCCGGUUCAUCAGCGGCGACGAGCGUAGAGCUCGAUGAAGAAAUCCAGCGCAUCUUCGCCUUGCUGUACUAG
rnacentral:rRNA from 1 species